rnacentral:sRNA from 1 species
AAUUAGGGAUGUUAUAACUUAUACUUACCAUCCCAAAAUAAAGUCAAGUGCACGGUCGAUGGACGCACCGUCUUGUGAAUCAGCAAGGUCAUGUGCUUCGAACCAAGCAGGACUAUGUGCAAUUCCGAUCUUCCCACCUUUACACUAUGGUCAUAAUUUAACAUAAUACAAAACAA